rnacentral:rRNA from 1 species
UUCAUUAAGCCUGAAAUCAGGUGGGAUUACCCGCUGAACUUAAGCAUAUCAAUAAGCGGAGGA